rnacentral:misc_RNA from 1 species
CACUAGCCUCGAUAGCAGCGGUUACCCCACAGCAGGAGCCGCAAAGAAACGGCCUACGCGCAGGCAAAGCCCUGAGCGAGGAGUAUGAGCGGAUAGCGAGAUUAAGC